AGUGAACGCUGGCGGCAGGCCUAACACAUGCAAGUCGAACGGAUGAAGAGAGCUUGCUCUCUGAUUCAGCGGCGGACGGGUGAGUAAUGCCUAGGAAUCUGCCUGGUAGUGGGGGACAACGUUUCGAAAGGAACGCUAAUACCGCAUACGUCCUACGGGAGAAAGCAGGGGACCCUCGGGCCUUGCGCUAUCAGAUGAGCCUAGGUCGGAUUAGCUAGUUGGUGGGGUAAAGGCGCACCAAGGCGACGAUCCGUAACUGGUCUGAGAGGAUGAUCAGUCACACUGGAACUGAGACACGGUCCAGACUCCUACGGGAGGCAGCAGUGGGGAAUAUUGGACAAUGGGCGAAAGCCUGAUCCAGCCAUGCCGCGUGUGUGAAGAAGGUCUUCGGAUUGUAAAGCACUUUAAGUUGGGAGGAAGGGCAGUAAGUUAAUACCUUGCUGUUUUGACGUUACCGACAGAAUAAGCACCGGCCAACUCUGUGCCAGCCGCCGCAGUAACAC
rnacentral:rRNA from 1 species